AAGCAGCCAUCCUUUAAAGAAAGCGUAAUAGCUCACUGGUCAAGCGAACCUGCGCCGAAAAUGUAACGGGGCUAAAGCAUGGUACCGAAGCUGCGGAUGGUAGAAAGUCUUCGGACUUUCACCGUGGUAGGCGAGCAUUCCCAAUGCAGAGAAGGUAGACCGUAAGGACUGCUGGAGCGUUGGGAAGAGCUUAUGCAGGCUUGAGUAGCGAUAAAACGAGUGAGAAACUCGUUCGCCGAAAGCCCAAGGGUUCCUGGGUAAAGUUCAUCUUCCCAGGGUUAGUCGGCCCCUAAGCCGAGGCCGAAAGGCGUAGGUGAUGGGAAGCAGGCAAAUAUUCCUGCACCACUACGGAAAUUUUCGUAGGAGGGACGGAGAAGGGUAGCGGAUCCGGAUUGGUGGAUUGUCCGGUUCAAACUGGUAGGUGGAUGCGUUAGGAGGCCUAGUGCCACAAACGACGUGUCGAUAACACCGAGAGGUAAAGAGGAGAGCGCCUAGCGCUCAUGAACUCCGCAAGCCCAGGCUUCCGAGAAAAGCUCCGACGAAGUUAAUUACUGUGGUGACCGUACCGGAAACCGACACAGGUGGGCGGGGAGAGUAUCCCAAGGCGCUUGAGAGAACCCUCCUUAAGGAACUCGGCAAAAUGACACCGUAACUUCGGGAUAAGGUGUGCCCUUAGGUGUGAAGCGCGAACGCGUGGAGCAUCCGAGGGUUGCAGAGAAACGGGGGUAGCGACUGUUUACCAAAAACACAGCACUCUGCGAAGUCGCAAGACGACGUAUAGGGUGUGAUGCCUGCCCGGUGCCGGAAGGUUAAGGGGAGUUGUCAGCCCGCAAGGGCGAAGCAGCGAACCGAAGCCCCGGUAAACGGCGGCCGUAACUAUAACGGUCCUAAGGUAGCGAAAUUCCUUGUCGGGUAAGUUCCGACCUGCACGAAUGGCGUAACGAUUUGCUCUCUGUCUCCACGAGAGACCGGGUGAAACUGUAGCGCCAGUGAAGAUGCUGGCUACCCGCGUCUAGACGGAAAGACCCCGUGAACCUUUACUAUACCUUGGUAUGGAAUUCUGGCAGGGUCUGUGCAGGAUAGGUGGGAGGCUUUGAAGCCGGGGCGCUAGCUUCGGUGGAGCCGUCGUUGAGAUACCACCCUGAUCGUGCUGUAGUUCUAACCUGGGCCCGUGAUCCGGGCCGGGGACAGUGCCAGGUGGGUAGUUUGACUGGGGCGGUCGCCUCCUAAACGGUAACGGAGGCGCUCAAUGGUCGGCUCAGCACGGUUGGAAAUCGUGCGUCGAGUGUAAGGGCAGAAGCCGGCUUAACUGCGAGACCUACAAGUCGAGCAGGUGCGAAAGCAGGACCUAGUGAUCCGGUGGUUCCGAGUGGAAGGGCCAUCGCUCAACGGAUAAAAGGUACUCCGGGGAUAACAGGCUGAUCUUGCCCAAGAGUUCAUAUCGACGGCAAGGUUUGGCACCUCGAUGUCGGCUCAUCGCAUCCUGGGGCUGGAGCAGGUCCCAAGGGUUGGGCUGUUCGCCCAUUAAAGCGGUACGUGAGCUGGG
rnacentral:rRNA from 1 species